AAGAUACAAUGCCCUUUAAAAAAAAUUUUUUUUGCAAAUUUUUACAUUUAUUAUUGUUAUGUACACCCCCCUCCCUGCACUACAAUCUAAACUAAGUGAUCUAUGGCCAACUGGCACCAAUUCUCCAAAUCAAAGUGUGCAAGGGGUACACGCUCAUGUGAUGCUCUCUGACAGAAGACAGACCAGGCAAUCUGUCUGCUUCUGUUCCCCUGAAAAAAAUAACUAGCAGGACUAUUCACCUGGGGGCCAGGCAGGAGUGCACCCUGCCUCAGUCAGAAUCCAUCGUGAACAGCUGGAUGUCCUGUGGGUUCCAGUACAGGCUGAGUUGUAGACCAGAGACCAGACAUAUGGGAUGAAAAACUCCUCAGGCUGCUCCUCUUCCACGUAUUUGAAUUUCAAUUCUGGAAAUUUCUUUAGUCUGUCUUUGGGCAGUGCAACAACCCCUUGCUUAAUGAUUUCCAAGACCCAUUCGACUGACAGCUCAGCUCCAGCUUGUAGCAACCUUGAGCUAAAGAAGGUGAUCACCAGAUCAAUAAGAUUUCCUACCCCAAGAAUUCUGUGACAUGAUCUAGACUUGGGGGGGGGGUUGUUACUGUGCAGAGAGGGGGCAGAACAACCCAGCUCACCCCAGAAGGAAGUUGAGAGGAGAGCUGUGUGCGUGGCUGGGCUGGUCAAGAUGCUGAGGAGAAGCUCUGAUUCCUCUGCCGCCUUGUUAGUUCUGAGGUUCUCAUAAACUUCCUCCAUGUCCUGCCCUGGGUUUUAAGAGAACCACCAGCUUCUCAUAAUAGUCCCUACUUGUAUUUAAAUUAGCUCAAGUGAGAUUUCAUUUCUUCGAAUCAAAUUAUCCCUGUGACAUUUAUGUACAAGCCUUUCUGUGUUAGAUUAUAGUUUCCUGGAAUGAAGAAACCAUAGCUUGUUUAUCUUUGUAGUUCUCGGAUAGUACAGCAUAGUGCCUUACACGUAGUUGAUCAAAACCUGUCUGGUGAACUGAAUUUAACUACAGAAGAGGUAAAUAACACGGGACUUGAAUAAUCAGUAGCAAUUACAAAGGCGUAGGAAAUUCAGUACAGUACUGUUAAGAACAGAGGUGUAGGGGCAGAGAGGAAAUUCAGAAGGAGGCCACCUGAGCUAAGUUGUUUUAGGCACAGUUUAUGUGGAAGCUGACCACACAAACACACAAACACACACACACACACACACACACACACACACACACACACACACACACACACACACACACACACACACACACACACACACACACACACACACACACACACACGCACACACACGCGCGCACACACCCCUCUGGCUCCUGGGCAGAGGAGAGGAAGGAAAGCUAGGCAGUCACAGCACAGCAUGUGCAGAGUAGGACACAGUGACCUCAGUUCCUAAAGAUCAGUAACUGAUAGCCAGAACAAAGUGGCAAGGCGACCACCAACGUGCUCAACAGCUGCAACUCUUAUCCUUAGU
rnacentral:lncRNA from 1 species